UGGCGGACGGGUGAGUAACACGUGGGUGAUCUGCCCUGCACUUUGGGAUAAGCCUGGGAAACUGGGUCUAAUACCAGAUAGGACCAUGCUUUGGAUGGUGUGGUGGAAAGUUUUUCGGUGUGGGAUGAGCUCGCGGCCUAUCAGCUUGUUGGUGGGGUAAUGGCCUACCAAGGCGUCGACGGGUAGCCGGCCUGAGAGGGUGUACGGCCACAUUGGGACUGAGAUACGGCCCAG
rnacentral:rRNA from 1 species